rnacentral:rRNA from 1 species
CGCCUCUUGUUACCCAUAAGAGGUCUAGCCUGCCCAGUGAUUUAAUUCAACGGCCGCGGUAUCCUAACCGUGCGAAGGUAGCGUAAUCACUUGUUCUUUAAAUGAGGACUAGUAUGAAUGGCAUCACGAGGGUUAUACUGUCUCCCUUUUUUAAUCAGUGAAACUAAUCUCCCCGUGAAGAAGCGGGGAUUAAACUAUAAGACGAGAAGACCCUAUGGAGCUUUAAACUAAACAGCAACUGUUCUAAACCUAUUUCCCUUCAGAGCCGUAUCCCUUAUUUUAACAUUAUGUCUGUUAGUUUUCGGUUGGGGUGACCGCGGAACAUAAAACAACCUCCACAAUGAAAGAGACUAUAUCUCUAAACCCAGAGUUACUACUCUAAGUAUCAAAAAUUUGACAUCUAUUGACCCAAUCUAUUGAUCAACGAACCAAGUUACCCUAGGGAUAACAGCGCAAUCCACUUCAAGAGCUCUUAUCGACAAGUGGGUUUACGACCUCGAUGUUGGAUCAGGGUAUCCUAGUGGUGCAGCCGCUACUAAAGGUUCGUUUGUUCAACGAUUAAAACCCU